rnacentral:rRNA from 1 species
GAUGAACGCUGGCGGCGUGCCUAAUACAUGCAAGUAGAACGCUGAAGGAGGAGCUUGCUCUUCUGGAUGAGUUGCGAACGGGUGAGUAACGCGUAGGUAACCUGCCUGGUAGCGGGGGAUAACUAUUGGAAACGAUAGCUAAUACCGCAUGACAACAGUUAUUGCAUGAUAACUGUUUAAAAGGGGCAACUGCUCCACUACCAGAUGGACCUGCGUUGUAUUAGCUAGUUGGUGAGGUAACGGCUCACCAAGGCGACGAUACAUAGCCGACCUGAGAGGGUGAUCGGCCACACUGGGACUGAGACACGGCCCAGACUCCUACGGGAGGCAGCAGUAGGGAAUCUUCGGCAAUGGACGGAAGUCUGACCGAGCAACGCCGCGCGAGUGAAGAAGGUUUUCGGAUCGUAAAGCUCUGUUGUAAGAGAAGAACGAGUGUGAGAGUGGAAAGUUCACACUGUGACGGUAUCUUACCAGAAAGGGACGGCUAACUACGUG